AUACGUAGGGAGCGAGCGUUGUCCGGAAUUACUGGGUGUAAAGGGAGCGUAGGCGGGACGGCAAGUCAGAUGUGAAAUACAUGGGCUCAACCCAUGGGCUGCAUUUGAAACUGCUGUUCUUGAGUGAAGUAGAGGUAAGCGGAAUUCCUGGUGUAGCGGUGAAAUGCGUAGAUAUCAGGAGGAACACCGGUGGCGAAGGCGGCUUACUGGGCUUUUACUGACGCUGAGGCUCGAAAGCGUGGGGAGCAAACAGGAUUAGAUACCCUGGUAGUCCACGCUGUAAACGAUGAUCACUAGGUGUGGGGGGACUGACCCCUUCCGUGCCGCAGUUAACACAAUAAGUGAUCCACCUGGGGAGUACGGCCGCAAGGUUGAAACUCAAAUGAAUUGACGGGG
rnacentral:rRNA from 1 species